rnacentral:rRNA from 1 species
GACGAACGCUGGCGGCGUGCUUAACACAUGCAAGUCGAACGGAAAGGCCCUGCUUUUGUGGGGUUCUCGAGUGGCGAACGGGUGAGUCACACGUGAGUAACCUGCCCUUGACUUUGGGAUAACUUCAGGUAACUUGGGCUAAUACCGGAUAGGAGCUCCUGCUGCAUGGUGGGGGUUGGAACGUUUCGGCGGUUGGGGAUGGACUCGCGGCUUAUCUGCUUGUUGGUGGGGUAGUGGCUUACCAAGGCUUUGACGGGUAGCCGGCCUGAGAGGGUGACCGGCCACAUUGGGACUGAGAUACGGCCCAGAAUCCUACGGGAGGCAGCAGUGGGGAAUAUUGCACAAUGGGCGGAAGCCUGAUGCAGCAACGCCGCGUGCGGGAUGACGGCCUUCGGGUUGUAAACCGCUUUCGCCUGUGACGAAGCGUGAGUGACGGUAAUGGGUAAAGAAGCACCGGCUAACUACGUG